UACGUAGGCAGCGAGCGUUGUUCGGAGUUACUGGGCGUAAAGGGCUCGUAGGCGGCCAACUAAGUCAGACGUGAAAUCCCUCGGCUUAACCGGGGAACUGCGUCUGAUACUGGAUGGCUUGAGUUUGGGAGAGGGAUGCGGAAUUCCAGGUGUAGCGGUGAAAUGCGUAGAUAUCUGGAGGAACACCGGUGGCGAAGGCGGCAUCCUGGACCAACACUGACGCUGAGUGAGCGAAAGCCAGGGGAGCAAACGGG
rnacentral:rRNA from 1 species